AAUAGAUACCCGGGUAGUCCACGCCGUAAACGAUGAGUGCUAAGUGUUAGGGGGGUUUCCGCCCUUAGUGCUGCAGCUAACGCAUUAAGCACUCCGCCUGGGGAGUACGGCCGCAAGGCUGAAACUCAAAGGAAUUGACGGGGGCCCGCACAAGCGGUGGAGCAUGUGGUUUAAUUCGAAGCAACGCGAAGAACCUUACCAGGUCUUGACAUCUCCUGACCCCCCUGGAGACAGGGUCUUCCCUUCGGGGACAGGAUGACAGGUGGUGCAUGGUUGUCGUCAGCUCGUGUCGUGAGAUGUUGGGUUAAGUCCCGCAACGAGCGCAACCCUUGUCCUUAGUUGCCAGCAUUCAGUUGGGGCACUCUAAGGAGACUGCCGGCUAAAAGUCGGAGGAAGGUGGGGAUGACGUCAAAUCAUCAUGCCCCUUAUGACCUGGGCUACACACGUGCUACAAUGGGCGGUACAGAGGGUCGCGAACCCGGCGAGGGGGAGCCAAUCCCAAAAAACCGCUCUCAGUUCGGAUUGCAGGCUGCAACUCG
rnacentral:rRNA from 1 species